AGACCCGAAACCCGGUGAUCUAGCCAUGGGCAGGUUGAAGGUUGGGUAACACUAACUGGAGGACCGAACCGACUAAUGUUGAAAAAUUAGCGGAUGACCUGUGGCUGGGGGUGAAAGGCCAAUCAAACCGGGAGAUAGCUGGUUCUCCCCGAAAGCUAUUUAGGUAGCGCCUCGUGAAUUCAUCUCCGGGGGUAGAGCACUGUUUCGGCUAGGGGGCCAUCCCGGCUUACCAACCCGAUGCAAACUGCGAAUACCGGAGAAUGUUAUCACGGGAGACACACGGCGGGUGCUAACGUCCGUCGUGAAGAGGGAAACAACCCAGACCGCCAGCUAAGGUCCCAAAGUCAUGGUUAAGUGGGAAACGAUGUGGGAAGGCCCAGACAGCCAGGAUGUUGGCUUAGAAGCAGCCAUCAUUUAAAGAAAGCGUAAUAGCUCACUGGUCGAGUCGGCCUGCGCGGAAGAUGUAACGGGGCUAAACCAUGCACCGAAGCUGCGGCAGCGAACGUAUCACCCAAGACAACUUUACGGAGUUGACGAUUGACGGAGCGAAGCGACGUCAAAGCGUUCAUUAAAGUCGAGUUGGCUUAGGGAUACGUUCGUUGGGUAGGGGAGCGUUCUGUAAGCCUGUGAAGGUGUGUCGUGAGGCAUGCUGGAGGUAUCAGAAGUGCGAAUGCUGACAU
rnacentral:rRNA from 1 species